rnacentral:rRNA from 1 species
UACAGAGGGUGCAAGCGUUAAUCGGAAUUACUGGGCGUAAAGCGCGCGUAGGUGGUUUGUUAAGUUGGAUGUGAAAUCCCCGGGCUUAACCUGGGAACUGCAUUUGUGACUGCACGGCUAGAGUACGGUAGAGGGGGAUGGAAUUCCGCGUGUAGCAGUGAAAUGCGUAGAUAUGCGGAGGAACACCGAUGGCGAAGGCAGUCCCCUGGACCUGUACUGACGCUCAUGCACGAAGCGUGGGGAGCAAACAGG